rnacentral:rRNA from 1 species
AACGUCUCAGUUCGGAUUGUAGUCUGCAACUCGACUACAUGAAGCUGGAAUCGCUAGUAAUCGCAGAUCAGAAUGCUGCGGUGAAUACGUUCCCGGGUCUUGUACACACCGCCCGUCACACCAUGGGAGUUGGGAAUGCCCGAAGUCAGUGACCCAACCGCAAGGAGGGAGCUGCCGAAGGCAGGCUUGAUAACUGGGGUGAAGUCGUAACAAGGUAGC